ensembl:lncRNA
UUUUUUUUUUUUUUGUCUUUUUACUAUUUCUUUGGGCCGCUCCCGCGGCAUAUGGAGGUUCCCCGGCUAGGGGUCGAAUCGGAGCUGUAGCCACUGGCCUACGCCAGAGCCACAGCAACGCAGGAUCCGAGCCGCGUCUGCAACCUACACCACAGUUCACGGCAAUGCCAGAUCCUUAACCCACUGAGCAAGGGCAGGGACCAAACCCACAACCUCAUGGUUCCUAGUCGGAUUCGUUAACCACUGCACCACGACGGGAACUCCCCUUCAGUCCUUUUUUGGCUACACCUGCAGCAUGCAGAUGUUUCUGGGCCAGGGAUCAUCAUGCCACAACAGCAACAACACAGGAUCCCUAACCUGCUAUGCCACAGGGGAACUCCAUAUCCUUCAUUCUUAAAAUGAAAGCUUUAAAGGAAUUUAUCUAAAAAAUUCACUGAGUUGAAAUAUAUCAGUCCGCUUUUUUUUUUUUAAAUCAGCCUGAAUUUAAAUUAUUCUUUCAAUGAGACUAUCCUGAUAAUCCAACAUUUACAUACCCCAUGAUGUGCAAAUUAAAGUAGGACAUUUAUAACCACUGUUUUUACCUUGGUCAACCCGCACUGUGGCUGGCAGAGGCUCCUCAGGUAACCAAGAAAUCCUCUCAUAAACCUUAGUAUUGUCCCCAUCCUACUCCUGCCAGCUAACAGAAAGACAGUGAUUAAAAAUUUUAAAGCACAGGAUGUUUUUUAAGGCCCUCAUUCUGUUGCCUUUGAAUUCCCCCCACCCCCAACCAAACACGUGUAUGUACACACAGGUUUCUGUUUAAAAUCUAAAACAUUCUGGACUGGAAGUGAGACAAGAAAUACUUAUUAUUUAUUAACACAAUAUCAUUAUUAAUAAAAUCAUAUGUAGUAUAUAUAUAAUUAACACAAUGUUAAAUGAGAAUUAAUAAAGACAAGACUGAGGGAGCAUGGAGGUUUCAUGACUACCCUGCAGAUGCUCUUACUAGAUGGGUGAGCUUGGCCAGUCUGACUUCAUACACAAGUAUGAGCAUUAUACUUAGCCUAGUCCCAGUCAUUUAGGAGCUUAAAAAUAACUUGAUUUGACCUUAGACUUGAACAAAGUGUUCCAGACCAACUCUCUCUAUUGGAAGCUCAGAAGCCUCUACACAUUCAACUGGAGUCUAUUUUAUUUAUUUAUUUAUUUUUUUGGUCUUUCUGCCAUUCCUUUGGGCCGCUCCCGCGGCACACGGAGGUUCCCAGGCUAGGGGUCGAAUCGGAGCUGUAGCCACUUGCCUACGCCAGAGCCACAGCAACGCAGAAUCCGAGCCGUGUCUGCAACCUACACCACAGCUCACGGCAACGCCGGAUCGUUAACCCACUGAGCAAGGGCAGGGACCGAACCCGAAACCUCAUGGUUCCUAGUCGGAUUCGUCAACCACAGCGCCAUGACGGAAACUCCUAUUUUAUUUUUUUUUAAACAGUAUGUUAGAAGAGUUUAUCUAACAUGUUAGAAGAGUUCCAUCUUCAUUUCCGAGACAGGCCUGAAACUUCUCGUCUUUAAUACAAUGCCAUCAAAUUGCAUUCACUCAGUGCCAAUAAACAAGUACUGACUUUUAUCUAUUUUCUCUUCUGUGCCUUUGUUAUCAGAUGGAAGAAGUGCCUCCAUCUCCCACAUGCUCUUCAGAGACAGAAGAGCCAGGCGAGGAGUUUAGGCCCUGUCCCACUGGCAACAGGGAACCACGGAGGAUUUGAACAGAGGAGUGUCACAAAUUCUAGCCCCAUGUCUACCACUAAUUAACGAAACUUUUACUAGCAUUCCUCAGGAACUGUUCUUCUGAAAGAGAAUAUGGUACCAAGGACCUCCAAGACUCUCCAAGUGUCAACACCACCACAUCUCUACAGGAGUUUAUAGGUUUGUAUUUGAUGUCAGCGGUCUUAUAAGAAUAUCUUUGCCCACACUACAGCUGCCUCACAGCCUAGUUGUUCUCAAUCCUGACUUUUAAAAGGCCAACUCUGUUGCUCUUGACAAAAUCAAAGAGUAUAUUUAUAAAGGAAGAUUUUCACUUUUUUUUUUUUGUCUUACAAACAUAUUAAGCUGUGCACUUAACUUGGCAAGUCCUAUUGCUUAAAAAUGACUCACAAAAUUAGUACACACUUAACUUUGUCAGCUUGCUAAAUAUCUCAGAGACAGAAAACGAUUUCUUCCCUGCUAAAUUUAUGUGGCCAAGAUAAAAAGCUCCAAUGAUUUAGGUGGGUUAUUUCAAGAAAAAACAAAAUCAAAACUAUCAGUUGAAUGAAAGAGGCUUUUAAAGAAGUUAGGCUGUCCCUUAAACAGAGGAAAAAAUAAAGCAACAGGAUGGUUAUGGGCAAAUUCCCCAGUAAGCCAGUUAGUUUCUGUCUGUGUAAUGGUUAUAGAUGGAACCCAUAAUUUCAGCCAUUUCAAAAUACUUAGGUCGCAACCAAUAGGGAUGAAUCUAUGCAUAUAUGCAGGCAAUGCCACAAUACAGCUGGCACACCUUCACUGGCAUUCAGAAUCUCCAAGUGGCAAAACCACUAAGUGGAAGGAGCCCUAACCAAGCAGGACUGUGAGGUCACUGUUUCUCACCUCACCUCAAACUCUCUUGCUGCUGAACCAUCUUGAGCUAUUCACUUAGGCUUUCUGAGCUGGCUUCCCUAACUAUAAAUUAUUUGAUCCGAUUAUUUCUGACAACUGCUAAUAAUCAAAUUACAUAAGUGGGUUCAAAAGUGGCUGAAAAACUGAAUAGUGUGCUGCAAAAAUCUAAGGCAAGGAGAACUGACACUGAGGGAAACAUUCUAGGCUUCUAAAUCCAGACAUUUCCUGGUUAUCUGUGCAAAAUCAGGAGAGUCCCUCUAUCACAACUAGAUGUUCUGUUUUAAACACUGCAGGUGGAAGGGGGACAGAGAUGGCCUAGGUGGGAGAGGAAGACCAAUAGAAAACUCGUUGAUAAAAGCCUGGAAUAAAAUCCAAAUUCUUCAGUGCAGCAUGUAAGACCUUUGCCACCUAGGCCCCGCCACAUUUUCAGGCCCGUUUCUCUUUAGUCCCAGCAACACCCCACCAGACCGAGGGACUCUAUGCAUGGUGCUACCUCCCAAUGGUCUUUUUUUUUUUUCCCCUUCUCUUUUCUAGGGUCGCACCUGUGGCAUAUGGAAGUUCCCAGGCUAGGGGUCGAAUCAGAGCUGUAGUGGCCAGUCUACGCCAGAGCCACUGCAACACGGGAUCCAAGCCGCGUCCGCGACCUACACCACAGCUCACGGCAACACCGGAUCUUUAACCCCCUGAGAAAGGCCAGGGAUCGAACCCACAACCUCAUGGUUCCUAGUCGGAUUCGCUAACCACUGCGCCAUGACGGGAACUCCAGCUACCUCCCAAUGGAACCCCAAACACCCAUGCUCCAGGGCUGGCCCCCACCAGGGCCCACUGGCUAUGGUGGCCUCUUUCCAGUUCCCCAAUCACCUGGCCCCACCUUUACACCACUGUCUAGCUGUCUAGCUGUCACAUUUCUUUUCGUCCUUUGGUCCUUGAUCAAAGUGCAGUGACUUCUAAACAGAUUUCUCUGCUUCCCAUGGCUCUAAGGAACAAGCCUGUCCUCUUUCCUUCUGCUAUUAUCUUUAUUUCCCUAAGAGGAGUUUUAAAAGUUCAAAUUCUGCUUCACUAACUGUAAGCUUCUAGAAAGGCGGAGGUCAUUUCCUAUCUUUGCAUCACCAUCCACAGCAAGAAUUAAUUCUUUCAACUUAACAUGGGCUUCAUUAAUGUUUGUGGAGUGAAUAAAAAUAAAAUGAUCUUAAUAUAUGGAUCUGGAAGACACUAGGCCCCAGAUAAUUCUGAAGUAAUCUUAACAUUUCCCAGGGUAAAGUCUGAAGAGGUAGAACUUUUUUUUUAAUUUAUUUUAUUACAGUAUAGCUGAUUUACAAUGUUGUGUUAAUUGCUGUUGUAACUGCAAAGUGAUUCAGCUACACAUAUAUAUUUUUUUCAUAUUCUGUUCCAUUAUGAUUAUAGGAUACUGAAUACAGAUCCCUGUGCUAUACAGUAGGACCCUGUUGUUUAUUUAUUCCACAUUUAACAGUUUGCAUCUGCUAGUCUCAAAUUCUCAAUCCAACCCUCCCACACUCCUUCCUCCCCCUUGGCAACCACAAAUCUGUUCUCUAUGUCUGUGAGUCUGUUUCUGUUUUGUGUAAGUUCAUUUAUGUCAUAUUUUAGAUUCCACAUAUGAGUGAUAUCAUAUGGUACUUGUCUUUCUCCUUCUGACUUACUUCACAUAGUAUGAUAAUCUCUAGUUCCAUCCAUGCUGCUGCAAAUGGCAUUAUUUCAUUCUGCUUAGGUCUGAGUAACAUUCCAUUGUAUGUAUGUACCACAUCUUCUUUAUCCAUUCAUCUGUCGAUGGACACUGAGGUUGUUUCCAGGUCUUGGCUAUUGUGAAUAGCACCACUAUGAACACAGGAGCACAUAUAUCUUUUCAAAUUAUAGUUUUGUCUGGAUAUAGUUUUGUCUAGAAGUGGGAUUAUUGUAUUAUAUGGUAACUCCAGUUUUAGUUUUUUAAGAAACUUCCAAUCUGUUUUACAUAGUGGCUGCAUCAAUUUAUAUUCCUAUCAAUGGUGUAGAAGGGUUCCCUUUUCUCCACACCCUCUCCAGGAUUUGUUAUUUGUAGACUU